AAUGUGAAUUGCAGAAUUCAGUGAAUCAUCGAAUCUUUGAACGCACAUUGCGCCCUUUGGUAUUCCGAAGGGCAUGCCUGUUCGAGCGUCAUUUCACCACUCAAGCCUGGCUUGGUAUUGGGCGCCGCGGUCGACCCGCGCGCCUCAAAGUCUCCGGCUGAA
rnacentral:rRNA from 1 species